AUGGAGUAGAGUUGUUAACUGUCCCUUGAAAAAAGGAACUGUCCUGUAUUUAGAAACAAAAGUACGUGUCAAAUAGUUUCAAAAUCAUUUCACACACACAC